GUCAGGGAGGACCAACAAGUGCUCGGCUACCUGCUCAACAACCUCUCCAAAGAGGUGCUCGUCAGGGUGACUGGGCUCACCACGGCGCACACGCUCUGGGCGACGCUGGCGGGCAUGUUUUCGUCGCAGUCUCUCAGCCGCGUCAACAACAUCCGUACUGCCCUGAUCAACAUGCAGAAGGGCAACCAAUCGGUGGCCUCCUACUUCGCCUCCAUGCGCGGCCUCGCCGACGAACUCGCCGCGGCAGGUAAGCCCAUCUAGGAUGACGAGCUUAUCUCCUACAUCCUGCAUGGGCUGGAGCUGGACUACUAG
rnacentral:rRNA from 1 species